UGGCUCAGAACGAACGCUGGCGGCAUGCUUUACACAUGCAAGUCGUGCGGCAGCGCGGGGGCAACCCUGGCGGCGAGCGGCGAACGGGUGAGUAAUGCAUCGGAACGUACCCCGUAGUGGGGGAUAACGCCGGGAAACCGGCGCUAAUACCGCAUAUGCUCUACGGAGGAAAGCGGGGGAUCCGCAAGGACCUCGCGCUAUGGGAGCGGCCGAUGCCCGAUUAGCUUGUUGGUGAGGUAAAGGCUUACCAAGGCGGGGAUCGGUAGCUGGUCUGAGAGGAUGAUCAGCCACACUGGGACUGUGACUCGGCCCAGGAAAAUACGGGAGGCAGC
rnacentral:rRNA from 1 species